CUGCAGCCCUCCAUAGACUGAGCACUGAGCCCUGCAGCUCUCCAUAGACUGAGCCCUGCAGCUCUCCAUAGACUGAACCCUGCAGCUCUCCAUAGACUGAACCCUGCAGCUCUCCAUAGACUGAACCCUGCAGCUCUCCAUAGACUGAACCCUGAACCCUGCAGCCCUCUAUAGACUGAGCACUGAGCCCUGCAGCUCUCCAUAGAC